rnacentral:tRNA from 1 species
GGAGUUGUAGCUCAGCGGUAGAGCACUUGCCUAGCAUGUGUGAGGCAGGGUUUAAUUCUCAGCACCA